GAUGAACGCUGGCGGCGUGCCUAAUACAUGCAAGUCGAGCGAAUGGAUUAAGAGCUUGCUCUUAUGAAGUUAGCGGCGGACGGGUGAGUAACACGUGGGUAACCUGCCCAUAAGACUGGGAUAACUCCGUGAAACCGGGGCUAAUACCGGAUAACAUUUUGAACCGCAUGGUUCGAAACUGAAAGGCGGCUUCGGCUGUCACUUAUGGAUGGACCCGCGUCGCAUUAGCUAGUUGGUGAGGUAACGGCUCACCAAGGCAACGAUGCGUAGCCGACCUGAGAGGGUGAUCGGCCACACUGGGACUGAGACCCGGCCCAGACUCCUACGGGAGGCAGCAGUAGGGAAUCUUCCGCAAUGGACGAAAGUCUGACGGAGCAACGCCGCGUGAGUGAUGAAGGCUUUCGGGUCGUAAAACUCUGUUGUUAGGGAAGAACAAGUGCUAGUUGAAUAAGCUGGCACCUUGACGGUACCUAACCAGAAAGCCACGGCUAACUACGUGCCAGCAGCCGCCGUAA
rnacentral:rRNA from 1 species